UGUUAUUCAAGUUCCAAAGCACCUCUUUGUAGAACUGGAACCCUAGGCCCAAAGGUAUAGCAGGACUUACCCAAGACCUCCAAACCUGUGAAUGUCAAUGGCAUUGAAAUACUACACUGUCAGCAACUGUGACUUAUUGAAGGGAUGCAGGGUAUUUCAGCUUCAGGAAAAGUCAAAUGGGUGAAACAACAUGGCGGUUGGGAGAAUUUUAAGUAGUAGUGCUUGCCUGAAGUUCAGCACUGGUAUUAAAGGGUAGGUGCCAGGAGAUCUAAUCCAUGUAACAGAUGACUAGGGCCUUGGAUAGCUGCACAGAAAAGAGGUUCAAGGCAAGGGGAUGACCUUGAAGUGUUAAAUAAUGUUGAUCAGAUUUGCAUGUAAAGAAGUGUUCAAGGCAGUGGGGCAGGGAGACCAACAGUUAGGAUGGCUGUGUCAGGAUAGGGGAGGAGAGGGCUGGGAAUUGUGGCUAGCACCUCACUGAGGAUGGCGAGGAGGGAACAGCAAUCCAGUGUGAAGAAGACUGAGAACACAGACUUGGUUUGAAGAAAGAGAGCCAGUAGGUCCAGAAUCAUUCCCAGGGUUUGGAGGCCUUGGCUUGGAGAGUGAUGAGUGUGCAGGAGAGCAGCAGGAUCAGGGAAGGGCCUCAUGGUGGGCACAAACCCACCCAGGCAUCUAUAUUACCGAGGAGAACAGCAAUGCGCCUGGGUCCUAUAUGCUGGAAUGCUGAUGCCCAGGCCCCACGAGAGCUCACAGGUGCAAAAUUGUGGAUAGGUGUGGGACAGGGACAGCACUUCUGAACAACAACAACAACAAAGCAAACAAAAUGAAAGAACACAAACUGUUAACCUGAUAUUGAGAAUUUUAUUAGAAAUCAGUAAAAUCGUUCCUAAUUAGAGCAAUAAAUCUUUUCAUCAGAGGACUCAGAUUCUGGUCUCGCAGAGCCAGUUUCUCCUCUUUGAAAGAGAGUUAUUGAAAUGCAAGAAGAGUGCUGGAUGUCUGUGCCUCUUUUCUGAAAAGAACUGCUCAGUCCUUGGGUGACCCUGUGCUAAUGAGUCUGUGGCUGGUGAGUCAUCUCCCAGCCCGAGUGGGAGAUGCUAUCAGUCGCAUCAACGUCCCCCAGUCACCUCCACCCCACUCCUCCUGCCUGUAACAGCCAUAGGAAGGCCAUUGGCACAGCCGCGUGCCAUCGUCUCCAGCCCUGCCCCACCUGAUCCACCUCUAAUUUAAUAUUGCUACAUGCAGGGGAUUCAUUACUAAAAUGUAUUAUUCUACAUGCAAACACACUUUGAUCUGCUUGACAG
rnacentral:lncRNA from 1 species